rnacentral:lncRNA from 13 species
GAAAGCAUCGGCGCUGGCAGGAGUGGCCGGCAGGCUGACACAUCACGGGGAGCAACGAGAACAUCUGGGAAGAACGUCCGUAAAACGAAGAUGGAGAAAGGAAAGUGUUUAUUUGCAGGAUGCCAAGCAAGGAGAAUCAGGCAGCUCACACUGAGCAUCUGUCUUCCACAGUGGCUUGCAAGUAAGGGUUUUUAAAGGUGAGGUGGCUGGUGCCAAGGCAAUGAGUUACCUCAACUGCUCACAGUCAGUUACACAUCAAAUGCCUUGUUCUACUCAUCCCCCGCUUCUCACUACUGCAUUUGACUCGUCAUUUAAAAAAGAAAAGAAAAAAAAGAAGGAGAAACAGAAAGGCAGGGGUAAAUUUUAGGAAAGCAGAAAUUAAAGGCAAAUUCAUGAAUCAAUACAUUGAAAUGAUGUAAAGACUGAUUUUAAAAGUGAAAUGAGAACCCAGCACAUGGUGUGUCAAAGGCUAAAUGCAGAGCAGACAUUAACACGUAAAUGUUCCCUGUGCUUCAGAAAGAAAGAUGAAGCCGGUGCGGUGACUCACGCCUGUAAUCCCAGCACUUUGGGAGGCCAAGGUGGGCAGAUUACGAGGUCGGGAGAUCAAGACCAUCCGGGCCAACAUGGUGAGACCUCGUCUCUACUAAAAAGUACAAAAGAAUUAACUGCAUGUGGCAGUGCAUGCCUGUAGUCCCAGCUACUCGGUACGCCGAGCCAGGAGACUUCCUUGAACCCAGGAGGCAGAGAUUGCAGUGAGCCGAAAUCGCAUCACUGCACAAUAGCCCGGGUGACAGUGCAAGACUCCAUCUUAAAAAAAAAAAGAAAAGAAAGAAAGAGAUUGUUGUGGGUUUCCUCCCUGUGGAAUACUUCAAGAGUUUAAGGAACACAGAAGCUCUGUGCUGGACGGCGUCGGGGCACAAGGAGUUUUCCCAGGAAUUCCACGGAGCAGCCACUGCCUUGAUGCCCAAGCCUUCGAGAGACAUCAAACUGGCUGUGGGAGAGGCCUUUCUGGACUACGCUGGGGAAGAGAGUCACGGGAGGGACCCUGAACCCCACAGGCAGCAGCAGGAAGGGUGUUCUCUGCGUGACCGUGACUGGACUGACUCGUCUUCAAGUCCUUACUCCGAAAGGGCCUUCACUGGGUUCUGGAGGAGGGCAGAGCUGGGAAACCCAGUUUCUCACAGAGCCCAGUCUCAGGUGGGCAAAGCACACCUCGCCCACAUCCUUCUAGCCUAUUCCAGGAAGCCACCGGGCCUCUGCUCCUGCCGGAAUGGAAUAGAACUGGCUCCAGCCAUAGCACCUGCCUGUUGCCAGGUGUGAGUCUCUCUGACACUGGCGUCUCACCUGCUCAAUGACCCCAUCCUAGGAGUGUCUUCAGGAGAG